GCAUAUCAAAAAGCGGAGGAAAAGAAACUAACAAGGAUUCCCCUAGUAACUGCGAGUGAAGCGGGAAAAGCUCAAAUUUAAAAUCUGGUGGUCUUUGGCCAUCCGAGUUGUAAUCUAGAGAAGUGUUAUCCGCGCUGGACCGUGUACAAGUCCCCUGGAAUGGGGCGUCAUAGAGGGUGAGAAUCCCGUCUUUGACACGGACUACCAGGGCUUUGUGAUGCACUCUCAAAGAGUCGAGUUGUUUGGGAAUGCAGCUCAAAAUGGGUGGUAAAUUCCAUCUAAAGCUAAAUAUUGGCGAGAGACCGAUAGCGAACAAGUACCGUGAGGGAAAGAUGAAAAGAACUUUGGAAAGAGAGUUAAACAGUACGUGAAAUUGUUGAAAGGGAAACGCUUGAAGUCAGUCGCGUCUGCCAGGGAUCAACCUUACUUUUGUGAGGCGUACUUCCUGGUUGAUGGGUCAGCAUCAGUUUUGGUCGCUGGAUAAAGGUCAGAGAAAUGUGGCACCUUCGGGUGUGUUAUAGUCUUUGAUCAGAUACAGUGGCUGGGACUGAGGAACUCAGCGCCGCAAGGCUGUCUUAGGAUGCUGGCAAAAUGGCUUUAAUCGACCCGUCUUGAAACACGGACAAAGGAGUCA
rnacentral:rRNA from 1 species